GUUAUGUUCCUUUGAGGCCCAGUCUUACCACUGUUGCCUUUUCCUUGCCCCUUCUGCAAAGGGGUAAAAGUUAGGGAGCAAAUGACCUCCAAUAAGCUUUACAUUUUCAAAUGAAACAUUUUUCUUCUUUGGGAUAUUUGGAGCCAAUCAAGGCAGAGUUGAGUGAUAACACAUUUCAGUUGUUCUGACCUGGGUUUGAAUGCUGGCAGAACGUUGGAUAUAUUACUCAAUCUCCACAAGCUGCAGUCUCCCAAUGUGUAAAAAUUAAAUUCCCACUUCUCAUACCUAUCAAUGAGGAUCAAAUGGAU
rnacentral:lncRNA from 1 species